AUUGAACGCUGGCGGAAUGCUUUACACAUGCAAGUCGAACGGCAGCACGGACUUCGGUCUGGUGGCGAGUGGCGAACGGGUGAGUAAUACAUCGGAACGUGCCCAGUCGUGGGGGAUAACGUAGCGAAAGCUACGCUAAUACCGCAUACGAUCUACGGAUGAAAGCGGGGGAUCGCAAGACCUCGCGCGAUUGGAGCGGCCGAUGGCAGAUUAGGUAGUUGGUGGGGUAAAGGCUCACCAAGCCGACGAUCUGUAGCUGGUCUGAGAGGACGACCAGCCACACUGGGACUGAGCAACGGCCCAGACUCCUACGGGAGGCAGCAGUGGGGAAUUUUGGACAAUGGGCGCAAGCCUGAUCCAGCCAUUCCGCGUGCAGGAUGAAGGCCCUCGGGUUGUAAACUGCUUUUGUACAGAACGAAAAGGCUCUGGUUAAUACCUGGGGCUCAUGACGGUACUGUAAGAAUAAGCACCGGCCAACUACGUGCCAGCCGCCGCGGUAA
rnacentral:rRNA from 1 species